GAUGAAGAACGCAGCGAAAUGCGAUAAGUAAUGUGAAUUGCAGAAUUCAGUGAAUCAUCGAAUCUUUGAACGCACAUUGCGCCCGCCAGUAUUCUGGCGGGCAUGCCUGUUCGAGCGUCAUUUCAACCCUCAAGCACAGCUUGGUGUUGGGACUCGCGUUAAUUCGCGUUCCUCAAAUUGAUUGGCGGUCACGUCGAGCUUCCAUAGCGUAGUAGUAAAACCCUCGUUACUGGUAAUCGUCGCGGCCACGCCGUUAAACCCCAACUUCUGAAUGUUGACCUCGGAUCAGGUAGGAAUACCCGCUGAACUUAAGCAUAUCAAUAAGCGGAGGA
rnacentral:misc_RNA from 1 species